CUCCGCUCAUCGCUGGUGGUUCAGACUCGGGUUGUCGAUGUAGAUCGAUCCAGUGCCACCCUCCUCGGUUAUUUUGCUUGGUGGUACGUGCAUCUGCUCGUGUAUUAGUAAAUCAUGUUGUUGACGCACGUCCACUUCAUCUGAUUAUGUGAAUAUAGUGGUUGACAUGCUCGGUUCAUCCUCAUUGGCGUCUAAACCUGAGGCUCCUAACUUUCUCAAAUGUUCUCCAGUUAUUCCCCCCUCUCCUUCAGAUGUGAUUAAUUUGGCAUGGGUUAAUUAAUUAUUUUGGUGCUCGAUUAGUCGCCAUUGUCGGAUGAUACUUUAGUAGGAAAGCUGAUGUUUAUCUACACA